rnacentral:rRNA from 1 species
GGGCCUGCACAAGCGGUGGAGUAUGUGGCUUAAUUCGAUGCAACGCGAAGAACCUUACCUGGCCUUGACAUGCAUCUCUAAGUGUGUGAAAGCACAUGACCCCUCGGGGAAUUUGCACAGGUGGUGCAUGGUUGUCGUCAGCUCGUGUCGUGAGAUGUUGGGUUAAGUCCCGCAACGAGCGCAACCCUCGUCCUAUGUUGCCAGCACGUAAUGGUGGGAACUCAUGGGAUACUGCCGGGGUCAACUCGGAGGAAGGUGGGGAUGACGUCAAAUCAUCAUGCCCCUUAUGUCUUGGGCUUCACGCAUGCUACAAUGGCCGGUACAGAGGGCUGCAAUACCGCAAGGUGGAGCGAAUCCCAAAAAGCCGGUCUCAGUUCGGAUUGAGGUCUGCAACUCGACCUCAUG